GAAUAUUAUCAAUCUAUGUUUGUUCUCUGUUAUUUUACGAUAUUUUAAUUUUUAAACUGUAACAUUUUACGUAUUAAGUAGGAAUUCUGAUCGAGCGAAAAAAACCACACCUGAUGAAGAAUCAGCAGUUAUUUUGAGGCAUGAUGACCAUCCGGCUCGGCGUGCAUAAUAAUAUAAUGCGUCGUGUGUGCGUGAUCGGUGUUUUCGGAAACGUUUCCUGAUGUGUCGGCUGACGAAUGGAACAAUUUGUUGGACGCGAUUUAGCGAAACCGUCUGCCAACGAAAUCGAACACGAUUUCCGAAUUCCGGUGGUCCUGUGUGUUUUUGUGGGCCGGAGCGGCGCGGUGAGUGGACGUUCGUCUCGGAAACAUUGAACAAAACUACCAGCGGUGUCUAUAUAUGCAAUGUCUAAUCGGUAAUCGGAACGAAAAUUAAAUUUUUUUUUCGGCGUCUCGUAAACACCCAAUGGUUGUGACUGUAAAAACAAACAAUUAUAUAAAUUAUAUCAGUUUUUGGUUGACAUAAAAUGAGAUUGAUUCCUUGACACCGGGCCCGGUGAUUGAUAUAUAGUUUUCCAAUAAUUGUGAUUAUGAUGUUCCAGAAAAGUCAACACAUUAAUUACAAAUAUUCCGAUUUUCCACAAAAGAUAAUUGUACCUAUUAAUCCUGUUUGAAUUAUUAUGAAAAUGGGAGUUUGAAUCAUAAUGUAUCGGCUAACCAAAUUAUAUGGGAAUAAUCUUCAAUUCAUGGACGAUGUUUAGUAUUUGAUGUUUGUGAAUUAUUACAAAAUUGGACAUUUUUUUAUCUCAAAUUUAAAAUGGACAACGUGAAGUUUUAAGAGAAUUUGAGACUUCGAGAAUUUGUUCAAGAAUAAGACUCUACGAUUACAAAGUAGUGGACAUGCAAAUAAUGUUGGCAUAUUAUUAUGGGAAAUCAUAGGGGUACUCAAACUUGAACACCUCAUUAACUCAUGGUUCUUUAUUGUAAUAUUUCAUCAAUAAGAAUUGUUACGAAAACAACCUACUUAAGAUGAAAAUGAACUCAACUGAAAAUAUACCUUUUCAAAGGCGAGUACUAAGUACCGGAGCAAAACGAAAGGAAACAGUGAUUGAACUUGUGCAUCAACGUGACUAUACCAGUCAUAACAUAGAAAUAUUUGCAGAAAACAUUCAAAAACGGAUUUAAAAUUGCCAAACUAGAAAAUAUUCAAAUUGUUAUGAGAAUAAUUUGAAGACACUUGUAAAGAAGUAACCCCCCGUGAUAUCUCCAUAACCGACACUGAAAUAAUGAAUGUACAUGGGGACAUCGUGAAUGAACGUGGCGAUUUGAACCCAAAUGAAUUGCUGGAGGAUGCUGAUAGAUAUAAGCAUAGUGGAUCAAGUGGUUGGCUUCUUGAUCCUUGACUUCUAUUGACUGGAGACGAUAAUAAAAAAAGAAUUCAUUGUUGUAAAAAGACUAUCAGAAGAAGAAAGAAUUUUAAUGGCUGACAGUAUUGAACACUAUACAAUGUGGAUGUUUCUACUGAUGUAAAGCGAGGGCAUAAGGAAUGAUUUUGCAAAAGUUUUAGUAUUAUCACUGAAAAUUGGAUUUACUGAAUAUGAACAAAAUAGACAUAAUAUCAUAUUAUGAUUAUCUGCUUAAUGGGCAAGUAAGCAUUAGUAUAUAACUUACAGUUGAUAAUGAAGAUUAUUCUAAAAAAAAUGGAAAACAACCGUAAUAUUCCAAUAACAGAGAUUGCACAAUAAAUUAUUUAUUUGAUGAAAUUACACCCAAUUCCAAAGGAUUACAUAAUAUAUUGACGAGCAUUACAGAAAGUGAGAGGCACUCUAGUGGUGGUUCAGAUGAAAACUUAGAAGAGAGAAAAGUAUCAGAAGAACUUACAUUGAAUAUGGCCGACACAAAAUAUAUCAAUACAUGAAGAUAUAAUUA